CACGUAGGAGGCGAGCGUUGUCCGGAAUCAUUGGGCGUAAAGAGCGCGCAGGCGGCUUGGCAAGUCGGGUGUGAAAUCCCGGGGCUCAACCCCGUGACUGCAUUCGAUACUGUCAGGCUAGAGGUAGGUAGGGGAGAUCGGAAUUCCUGGUGUAGCGGUGAAAUGCGCAGAUAUCAGGAGGAACACCGGUGGCGAAGGCGGAUCUCUGGGCCUUACCUGACGCUAAGGCGCGAAAGCUAGGGGAGCGAACAGG
rnacentral:rRNA from 1 species